rnacentral:rRNA from 1 species
AGUGAACGCUGGCGGUAGGCCUAACACAUGCAAGUCGAACGGCAGCACAGUAAGAGCUUGCUCUUACGGGUGGCGAGUGGCGGACGGGUGAGGAAUACAUCGGAAUCUACUUUUUCGUGGGGGAUAACGUAGGGAAACUUACGCUAAUACCGCAUACGACCUACGGGUGAAAGCAGGGGAUCUUCGGACCUUGCGCGAUUGAAUGAGCCGAUGUCGGAUUAGCUAGUUGGCGGGGUAAAGGCCCGCCAAGGCGACGAUCCGUAGCUGGUCUGAGAGGAUGAUCAGCCACACUAGAACUGAGACACGGUCCAGACUCCUACGGGAGGCAGCAGUGGGGAAUAUUGGACAAUGGGCGCAAGCCUGAUCCAGCCAUACCGCGUGGGUGAAGAAGGCCUUCGGGUUGUAAAGCCCUUUUGUUGGGAAAGAAAAGCAGCAGGUUAAUACCCCGCUGUUCUGACGGUACCCAAAGAAUAAGCACCGGCUAACUUCGUG